rnacentral:rRNA from 1 species
CGUCAGUUCGUACUGUGAAGCAUCCUGUUAAGUCAGGCAACGAGCGAGACCCACGUCCACAGUUGCCAGCAUACCCUCCGGGGUGAUGGGUACACUGUGGAGACCGCCGCUGCUAAAGCGGAGGAAGGAGUGGGCAACGGUAGGUCAGUAUGCCCCGAAUCUCCCGGGCUACACGCGGGCUACAAUGGUUGGUACAAUGGGCAUCUACCCCGAAAGGGGAAGGAAAUCUCUUAAAGCCAAUCGUAGUUCGGAUUGAGGGCUGCAACUCGCCCUCAUGAAGCUGGAAUCCGUAGUAAUCGCGUUUCAACAGAACGCGGUGAAUACGUCCCUGCUCCUU